rnacentral:rRNA from 1 species
UACGGAGGGUGCGAGCGUUGUUCGGAAUUAUUGGGCGUAAAGAGCGUGUAGGCGGCCAGGUAAGUCAGAUGUGAAAGCCCUUGGCUUAACCAAGGAAGGGCAUUUGAAACUACCUGGCUUGAGUACGGGAGGGGGAAGUGGAAUUCCUGGUGUAGAGGUGAAAUUCGUAGAUAUCAGGAGGAACACCGGUGGCGAAGGCGGCUUCCUGGACCGAUACUGACGCUGAGACGCGAAAGCGUGGGGAG